UACGUAGGGUGCGAGCGUUGUCCGGAAUUAUUGGGCGUAAAGAGCUUGUAGGCGGUUUGUCGCGUCUGCUGUGAAAUCUCCCGGCUCAACUGGGAGGGUGCAUUGGGAACUGGAGGGCUCGAGUAUGGGAGAGGAAAGCGGAAUUCCUGGUGUAGCGGUGAAAUGCGUAGAUAUCAGGAGGAACACCUGUGGUGUAGACGGCUUUCUGGACCAUCACUGACGCUGAGACACGAAAGCGUGGGGAGCAAACAGG
rnacentral:rRNA from 1 species